UACAGAGGUCCCAAGCGUUGUUCGGAUUCACUGGGCGUAAAGGGUGCGUAGGCGGUUGGGUAAGUCUGUCGUGAAAUCUCCGAGCCUAACUCGGAAACUGCGUCGGAUACUAUUCAACUCGAGGAAUGGAGGGGAGACUGGAAUUCUCGGUGUAGCAGUGAAAUGCGCAGAUAUCAGGAGGAACACCGGUGGCGAAGGCGGGACUCUGGGCCGAUACUGACGCUGAGGAGCGAAAGCGUGGGGAGCAAACAGG
rnacentral:rRNA from 1 species